GCGUCUAUAGCUCAGCUGGAUAGAGCGUUCGACUACGAAUCGAAAGGUCAGAGGUUCGAAUCCUCUUAGACGCG
rnacentral:tRNA from 1 species